UUGAACGCUGGCGGCAGGCCUAACACAUGCAAGUCGAGCGGUAGAGAGAAGCUUGCUUCUCUUGAGAGCGGCGGACGGGUGAGUAAUGCCUAGGAAUCUGCCUGGUAGUGGGGGAUAACGUUCGGAAACGGACGCUAAUACCGCAUACGUCCUACGGGAGAAAGCAGGGGACCUUCGGGCCUUGCGCUAUCAGAUGAGCCUAGGUCGGAUUAGCUAGUUGGUGGGGUAAUGGCUCACCAAGGCGACGAUCCGUAACUGGUCUGAGAGGAUGAUCAGUCACACUGGAACUGAGACACGGUCCAGACUCCUACGGGAGGCAGCAGUGGGGAAUAUUGGACAAUGGGCGAAAGCCUGAUCCAGCCAUGCCGCGUGUGUGAAGAAGGUCUUCGGAUUGUAAAGCACUUUAAGUUGGGAGGAAGGGCAGUAAAUUAAUACGUUGCUGUUUUGACGUUACCGACAGAAUAAGCACCGGCUAACUCUGUG
rnacentral:rRNA from 1 species